GGCCUGAUGGCCAAGUGGUAAGGCGUCUGUCUCGUAAACAGAAGAUCGAGAGUUCGAACUCUCCCAGGCCU
rnacentral:tRNA from 1 species